rnacentral:rRNA from 1 species
CCCUUAGAUGUUCUGGGCCGCACGCGCGCCACACUGAUGCAUUCAACGAGCCUAUCCUUGACCGACAGGUCCGGGUAAUCUUUGAAUCUGCAUCGUGACGGGGAUAGAUUAUUGCAAUUAUUAAUCUUCAACGAGGAAUGCCUAGUAGGCGCAAGUCAUCAGCUUGCGUCGAUUACGUCCCUGCCCUUUGUACGCACCGCCCGUCGCUCCUACCGAUUGGGUGUGCUGGUGAAAUGUUCGGAUCGGCCGUUUGUCGCGGUUUCCGCGUCAUGUGGCUGAGAAGUUCAUUAAACCCUCCCACCUAGAGGAAGGAGAAGUCGUAACA